AUGAAAUCACAUCUGUAUAAUUAUGCAACAGUUCCUGUAACUUCCAAAGUAAAAGCUAUUUCUGUGAAUUCAUUUCAUCUGUUUUCACUGCAGAACACUGGAGGUGUUGCAACAUUCAGUGAUUCAGGAGUCAAAUAUCUAAAGCAUUUUGGAUGGGGAGCAUGUGACAACAUUGGUGUUCAAGCUGUAGUAGCUUCUGGUUCAUUUCUCACCCUUGAAGGGCUUAAUAUCAGGUUACUUAGACUGAUUUGUUCCUUCUGUAAUGAGUUUCGGAAACCAAGCAAAAACACGUUUAAUUGAGCUUGGUUAGCAUUUAAAGUGUUUUCUUCUGGCUUUUUGCUUUCAGGUUUUCUCCAAGCAAAAUUUAAUUGAGCUUGGUUAGCAUUUAAAGUGUUUUCUUCUGGCUUUUUGCUUUCAGGUUUUCUUUGUACACUGUUCCUUAUCAGUUGUUAUGCUGGCAUGUUCAAAUUUCAUUGCUUAAAAGUGUUGUGAUUUUUAACUUCUGUUGAUGAUCACCUCUUUUUCUUGUUAAUCAGUGAAAAGGCAGGAUGUAGAUAUUUUCCAUUAGCUUUGUUGAGGGUAAACAGUGUGACACUUUCAAAAGGGUGGUGCCCAGCCUGAAGAAGUGGAAUUCUUUUUACCCAUGCAAGUUUGCAAUUUGUGUGGUCUUUUAGUGGUUCAAUAGGUAUCGCCUUACUCCUGCAUCUGUAUAAUUCUGAACCAUGUGGCCUUUUCCUAAGUCUUGCCAUGUAGUGACACUUUUACCACUGAUCUAAAAGUUUCCCUUCUAGAACAAAGGAACUUCCAAGGGAAAUGAGAGAGGGAGAUAGAGAGAGCUUGACUGCCAAGUUACAAUUAGGCAAUACCUCUAUAUCACCAGAGUUUAAUGUAGGAGUGAUGGAUGUUUACCACUGUCUGGAUAUUUCUGUUACCAGAAAAUUGUGUGAAUGACUGCCAGUGAUAUGAUCAUCACUGUCAAAAAUUUAUUUAUUUAAUUCUCCUGUGAGAUCACUAUCCACAGUUCUAUCCCUUCUUAUGUAUAUCUGAAUUUUGACUAGCACACUGACCCUCUGAUUGUCUGAGCUACAGUCUAAGAAAUCUGGUUCUAAAAUAAAUUUGUCACUUUCCAAAGUGCUCUCUCUCUA
rnacentral:lncRNA from 1 species